UAGGGAAUCUUCCGCAAUGGGCGAAAGCCUGACGGAGCAACGCCGCGUGAGUGAUGAAGGUCUUCGGAUCGUAAAACUCUGUUAUUAGGGAAGAACAAAUGUGUAAGUAACUAUGCACGUCUUGACGGUACCUAAUCAGAAAGCCACGGCUAACUACGUGCCAGCAGCCGCGGUAAUACGUAGGUGGCAAGCGUUAUCCGGAAUUAUUGGGCGUAAAGCGCGCGUAGGCGGUUUUUUAAGUCUGAUGUGAAAGCCCACGGCUCAACCGUGGAGGGUCAUUGGAAACUGGAAAACUUGAAUGCAGAAGAGGAAAGUGGAAUUCCAUGUGUAGCGGUGAAAUGCGCAGAGAUAUGGAGGAACACCAGUGGCGAAGGCGACUUUCUGGUCUGUAACUGACGCUGAUGUGCGAAAGCGUGGGGAUCAAACAGG
rnacentral:rRNA from 1 species